rnacentral:misc_RNA from 1 species
AAACCAUGCUCUUCAGUAAAUUAUGACAUUAAGCUGAAUGAAAUUCAGAUUACUAAGUAGAGCUGUAAUGUUAGCUUCCAAAGCAUUAGGAGGAACAUGCUCUUUAUCUCCAUUCCAAGGCGCGAAAAUCUAGUAAUCUACCCCGAUCCCCCACCCUCUACCCUCUUCCUCUUCUACUUUCUACUCUCUAUUGAUGUGAUUUGUGUUACAGUGUUUUCAUUUGGGUUGAUGUAACUCUCACUUCUAUACUGGCAUAUUUCUGUUCAUGCUUUUGCACGCAGCCACAUAUUGGAUGUGUGUGCUCCUCAUUUUCUGUACAUUUUCUGGCUUAGUCUACUGGACUCUGACACUAUUUAUUUACCCUGGUUCUUUCAUCACUUGGAAUUACUUCUUCAAUAGUUUACUUAAUCAUAAAAUCUAAUUGUAUUGAA